CCCACCUGCCCCCCCCGGCCUCCGUAGGAAGGAAGGGCGGGGGGAAUGUUGUCUGGGCUUUCGUAUUCUCGAAGCUUGGCGGGCCCGCUGGGGCCUGCCACUCUCUACGCCAUUGGCGUGGCGGGCGCAGUUGGCGUAGGCGCGCUAGCCGGGGUUGCGGUGCAGGCGGCGGCGGCGGCGGCGGCUCUGCGGGGCGCGGGCAGAAGGUUUCAGAGGAGGCGCCCAGGACUGGCUGGGACUAAUUUACUCGUUUCCCUCCCUACUUGACAUUAGAGACCUGUUGGAGCAGUAGCAACAGACAGCAGAGACCUGUGUAAAGUAGUCGCACAAGGGGAGGAGACUGGAACCGAGAAGCCUUGAAUGUGCAGUGUGCAGACCUAGGAUUUCUUCAGACAGACUAGUUCAGGAUGACUUCCUAUCAGAGAUGGUUUCCGAAGGGGGCCUGAUGGACACAGAGCACCACAGCCUCUAAGCGGGAGAACUGCAGGCAGGGGAGCUCCUGCUGGUCCGGAGCUUGAAUUUUUCUCCCUCCUUUUCCUCCUUGGAGAUGUUCCAGAGGUUUACUCCGUCCUCUUCCUCCUCACCUGAAGCCUGCCAGGGCAAUGAUCCCACAGCCAGAUCUGACCACCAAAGAGUGAAGAGGAUUGUGCAUUUAAAGCUGGGCCAUCAUUGCAAUUGAACUUAAAUUUACACUCUCCUUCUUCCACUCCUGAAAUAGCUGCCUGUUCCUCUGUUUAUCUGUGUGCAUUUUGAGAAGCUCCUUUCUGACUCUGAUUUUGUUGUUCUGCGUUCCUGGACUUUUCUCACUGAGCCUGCCCAUGGCUUUCCUGAUGAAGAAAAAGAAAUUUAAAUUUCAGACCAGUUUCACCCUGGAGGAGCUGACUGCUGUUCCCUUUGUGAAUGGUGUUCUGUUCUGCAAAAUCAGGCUGCUGGAUGGAGGGGAUUUUGCUAGUUUGUCUUCCAGAGAGGAGGUGCAGGAGAACUGUGUCCACUGGAAGAAGAAAUUUACCUUUGUGUGUAAAAUGAGUGCCAAUCCUGCCACUGGCCUCCUGGAUCCCUGCAUCUGCCGAGUGUCUGUGCGUAAGGAACUGAAGGGCGGAAAAACCUACUCAAAGCUGGGUUUUGCUGAUCUGAAUCUGGCAGAAUUUGCUGGCUCCGGAUUCACUGUCCGAUGCUGCUUGCUGGAAGGAUAUGAUACCAAGAACACACGGCAGGAUAACUCCAUCCUAAAGGUCACAAUUGGAAUGUCCCUGCUCUCUGGGGACCCCUGCUUCAAAACGCCUCCUUCCACAGCCAAAUCUAUCACCAUCCCGGGACAGGACUCCUCCCUGCAGUUGACCUGUAAGGGCGAGGGGACAACCAGUAGCAUCAGCAGCUCAGCCACUAUCGGAGCAGUGCGUCAGGCCAAGUCGAGACCCACCAUUCUCAAUCCAGGUGUUCCAGAGGAACCAGACCAGAAUCUGUCCAGUCCAGAGGAAGUAUUCCACUCGGGGCAUUCACGGAACUCCAGCUAUGCCAGCCAGCAGUCCAAAAUCUCCGGUUAUAGUACCGAGCACUCUCGCUCCUCCAGUAUGUCUGAUUUGACCCACCGCCGGAAUACGUCCAGCAGCAGCAGCGCCUCUGGGGGGCUCAGUAUGACAGUGGAGUGUCCUGAGGGAGAACGGGACCACAAACUAGACAAGCCACCUCGCCCCCCAAGACCAACCAUCCUGUUGGAUAGAUCAUCCCGAAGGAAAAAGGAUUCAGUGGAGAGUCACCCAACAUGGGUGGAUGAUACUAGGAUUGAUGCUGACGACAUAGUGGAGAAAAUUAUGCAGAGUCAGGAUUUCUCAGAUGUCAGCAAUACUGAAGACAGUAACCUGAGGUUGUUUGUGAGCAGAGAUGGCACAACUACAUUGAGUGGGAUUCAACUGGGAAACAGGUAUGGCUCCUGAAAGGUUGGUGGACACUGGGGCUCUGUAAAGAUAGGUCAGCUUGUUCUUUGUGCUUAGGAGACUUUCACCUCACCUCAGUAGAAAUUUCUGAAGAUCGUGUGAUGGCUUUGUUCCCACAUUAAUCCUCUUGGGAUCCCUUUAGUCACAGGAUGCAGCUGUGUUUGUGUGUAUUCAGAGCUCAGCAGAAGCUUGACUGGGGUAUUUGAUCUUGGCUGCUAGAACAGGGACAGAGGGAAGGUGUGCAAAAGUACAGCACAGUCCAGGGUUGGUCUAUCUUUCUCUGCUUUCAAAGCCCGUUCAAGGCAGGCAACCUUGUUGCCCCCUGCUGAAUUAUCGCAAAACUGCAAAGCCUAAUGAAUUCUCCAUUCUCAGCUGCAUGCUUUCCUAUGUCCAUUCAGAGCUUGUUUCCUCUCUGAGGAGAGAUGCUAUUAAAUAGUGUUCCCAUAAUGCUUUGCGCUGCCAUAGCGCCUUUUAUCACAGGAUCUCAAAGCCAUUUACGUUCACUAAACCUCACAAGCUCCAGGAUAAGUGGAGUUUGGGGUGAAGUGUCUAAUAUAAAGUCACACACCAAGUCAGUGGCAAAGCUGUGACUAGAGCCCUGGAGUGCUAAGGCUUUCGCUGCUCCAAUAGACAGCUUCUCCUCUGGAGCCUUUCCAAAUGUCCUCUGCCUAGCCUCUUUCAUCUGUCUCUCGCAGGAAGGAAAAGUGUGUUACAGCCAGUUCUCUUUCCAGCUUUGGGAUGUUGAUUGCCAUUUGGCUGCCUCGCUUUUGUUAUGCAGGCUGGUUUAGCUAUUUUCAGUAUAUUUUUUGUUUGGAAAAAAUGCCUGAAUUCUGAGCUCUGCAUAGAUGCUUCUGUAUUAAUCUAAAGGUGUAAAUACAAGAACUUGUUCUCCCCCCUCCUCCUGCAGGGUCUCAUCUGGAAUUUAUGAGCCAGUGGUGAUAGAAACCCGUUAAAUGUGAAGAACAGGGUAGACCUGCUGGCAACAGACCCCCUACCCCGUCCUCUGCCACACGGAUGCCAAUCUUUACCUCUCUACAUGCAACAUUCCAGAAGGGAUUUCUCCAGACCCCUCCCCUUAUGUUUGCACUGCAGAACUCCUCCGAGACCAUACCACUCCACAACAUGCACUUUUCCUGACUUGGCAUUAACUCCCCACUCAUCCCAGUGCUUCCAAACACCCUUGAAUUCCCUGCAGAUCCAAGGGGUCUGUCUGGAAGCCUUCUCUUUGCUAGAGGAUGUUCCUCCCAUCCCCAGUCCCUCAUUCCAUGCAUUGCUUCCUUACUAGGGAUUUCUUCACUCCUGUAUCUGCAAACCUUUGGGUUGUACCACUGUGAACUUUUUCAAACCACUGAAGGGGAAAACCAGAACUAACAAACCAGGAGAGCAGUUCCUUGUUGAAACAAUGAGCUGGCCACUUUCAGGAUAUUUGAUUUCACUGAUUCUGCAUUGUGGAUUGCAAGGAAACUUCACCUCCUAUGGCAACAUUUUACUGAGCAACGAAUCCAAAAAACCAAACCUCCCCCCCCCGCCCCCCCCGUCGUCUGCUCAUAGGAAACGUUUCCCAAAAGUGCAUUUCAGAAAACGAAUGAAACAGACGGAGAUGGAAGUCGAUGUUAAAAGGUUAAAUGCUAUCGCUUGUUAGCUUCACUAACUGCAGUACCGCCUUCCACUGCUGGGCAUGCGAGGCCGUUUUCAUCGGUUGGUGUUAGCAGGAGCACUUUAGAAAUUCCAUAUGUGCCCCGAACAGGGGGUGUGAUUUGGUUGUGAUGAUCUCUCCUGUCAUGGCAAGUGUGGCUAAACGGUUGUCUUUCCCAACUAGAGCCAGUGAGGGAACUGGUUUCUGGUUGGCCCUUCGUGCUGUGCGAGAAAGGAGCCAUUGUCAAGUCAGUCCCCACCUACGCUGGGGAGCAGCUUUGACUAAUGCAGAAAGAAAUGGCUAAAUCUCCGCUACUUUGGUGGAGUGGAGCCUUCCUGCUGCACUAGCCACAGCAGCCAUUCUCCUCCGCUCCUGAGGUGUGAACUCUGGGUUUGACGGGCUUAAAACUGUUGUCUUGGUUGAUCUUUUCAUGAUUGAGCUUUUUCUCGUUUGGUUUCUGCAGUUGUCUGAAACAUUAACUGCCCUUUUUUUCCUGGCGUGAUGUGGCAGAAAAGAGGUGAGCCUUUUUCAACUCCCACUUGUAGAUUUCUCCCGGCAGCUGAACUACAGAUGAGGAUCUAUGCAGGCUUCUGCCUUGGGUUGGCUGCAGGCUGCGUUCACAGCCCUUUCUGUACAGACGCUUUCAGCCUAUAAGCUAUUUCUGUGUGGUGCCCAUUCCUUUUUUGCUGUUGUCCUGUAGUAGCACUCUGCAGCCAUGCACUUUGACUAACGGCACACUCCAAGUCACUGGCAAUACACAUGUGCGUGCACACACACAUCCUGUUUUUCUCACACACACUCCCAUUUAGCAGGAAGAAGUCAUUUCUGAUUGAUCAUCUUGGUUUUUCAAAUUCCUAAUUAUGGCCAAACUUUUUUCAGGACUACAGGUUGUGUCUCUGGGUACCUAAAACGCACGCAGAUGAGCUGCUGGGAAAGGCAAUUCCACAGACGAUUGCAAGACUGAAGGGGCCUGGAUUUCCAGUCUGACUAGCACCAGCGGCUUGGAUGGGGAGGAUUCUGUGAGCAGCACAGCAAGGCUGGUCCUAGCUAUUUCUGCCACAGACCCACCAGUCCCACUCCUUGUGUACUAUAGCUAUGCAGACAGCAUCUUGGGUGGGCACUUUUUCUCUUGCCCACCUACCUUCCCCUCAGAAGGAAUUAACGAAUCUUGGCCUAGGCCUGUCAAACCUUCUGAUUGAACGUGGGAAAGAGCUCCUGGUUAGACCAAGUCUGUCCAAAACCAAGGCCCUUUCACUUGCCUACAUUUUAAUCAUCAUCUCCUCUCCGCUCGGGUUGGCACUGGGUAGCGGGUUGGUGAGAUGCCCAGCUGGCUUAGGUAGGGCUGGCUCUAUGCUGUUGAGGAUCCCAAAGGUUUGGAGAAGCGGGAGAAUUAGUUACUUGCCUCUCCCUCCAGAGCUGCUGCCAGAGAGGCUGGGUUGGCUGGCACAGUGCCCCUCCAGCAGUGCUUCCCACUGCUUUCCCUGUGGGCAAAGGCACUCUAUGGUGCAGAGCCCCCUGAAGUCAGUGGGAGCGGUGGGUGAACUGUGGGUAUGCAGCGUUCCUGGAAACAUGCUCCUAAAUGUCUGCAGCCUUCCAGCAGCAGUUCAAGGACUUGGGAGGAGACGAGUAACCCAGGAAUGAGUCCAAAGCCAGGUCAGUUUAGCUGCUUCCUUCCGGUGUCCAUCUUGCUUGUUACUACAGCAGUGGCUAGGAACCAAGAGCCUUUGUUCUGGGCUCCAGCUGGCAAGAGAGGUAACUGGUCUGGGAGGGGACAUUUGCUGUUAGACGUGUCACAAAACACCCUUUGAGACAAAGGGAGAAAUAGCUCCUUCCAGGGAGACAACAGGAGGAGCAGGUUAGCUUUCAAAACCUGUGUCUUCUCCUGUCACCAGGCUGGCAAGCAACACUAACCUCUAAUCCCGAGACGCUGGAGAGCUGCGGCCUUUCUGUAGAUUGCUGUCUCUGGCUUGCAGCAGUUCAGUGCUCUGCUGUUUAAAUUCUUGACAGUUUUUGUGCCUCUUGGUCUUGUUUCCUGGCAGUUGUUGAUGAGUUUGUAGACGUUGAUCUGUUAACAGCUUUUAGCUCAGACCCCUCCUGUUUUGACUAAGAGCAGCCCUAGUCAUCUGGAACAAGUGAGUAUAGCUAAUCUUGGAUUGUUCAGAACAGGGUCAGGGAGGGAGGAGGAGUUGUCUUUCUAUAUACCACACCAAAUUCCAGCUUCGCAUCCUUCCUCACAAGUGAUGCCCAAUAGUCCCACAGCCUGGUGCUGCAUGUGUACUUUGGAGCACGGAGGGAGGCUGAGCAAGCAUUGGGAUCACCUGGACAUCAGCCCUGCUGCCUGGCUGGAAGCUUUGUAUCUUGCAAGCACUUUUUUCCUUAUGGCAUUGCUGGUAUUUGUUGCUAGUUCGGAUGCUGAAGAAUAUUUUGUGAGUUUGUCAAACUUAAACCACUGGUUAGUUUCCAAGUCUUUUUUUUUUUUUUUCCCCUUGAAGUUUAUUGAAUUUUAUAAACCCAGCAGGCUGGUGUUCUUUGACUGCAUUGUGGCGUUAUCGUCGUUUCAUUGGUAUUUUAUUCCGGGGGGCUAAGGGAGGUAACUUUUCCUCCCCCAAUUGUCCCCUUCUCAGGGGAUCCAGAAAUGAACUAGGCAAGGAAGGGCCCUCUGGCAAGAUUUUUGCAUCCCUGAUCAAUGGUGUAGGCCCUGGUCUCUGGUGCAGGAGAGCAGGAUGGUUAAGCUGGGCUGACCCCGGGGAGCAGAGCUGGAUUCCCUGCCCCCCUGCCCUCAGCCCCCAGGGCCAAGUUGGAAUGGAAUGGACUGGAUUCCACACUCCCCAUUACAACAGAUUAACAUUUCAAGACCUUUCUAUUUGGAAGCCCACUGCAAAGCGUGGGGUCUUCAGCCUAUCUUUUUUUAUUAACUUUUUUAAAGAAACUAUAAACUGAAGAAUUAUCUGGGAAGGGCAGAUGUAAAGGUCAUGACUCGGCAUAGCCCCCAAAUGAGUCAGGGAAGGAGACUGGCUCGGCUCGGCUCGGCUCUGGAUGGGAAUGGGGAAAGGAUGACCUAAUGCCUCCAGUUUCCGUGUGACUGGCACUUUAAAUGGGAGCUUUCAUGCUGUCCUGAUUUAAGGACAGUCAGUUUCUUAGUGUCUCCCCCACCGUCACCCUCUGGAGGGAAAGUUUAGCCCUUUUAAGUGUUUGUUUUGGUUUUUAGAGUGUUUCGAACUGGGCUGAGAUCUGAAGAAAGUUGUUGCAUUAAAGUUUAAUAGGAGAGGUUGAUUUUAUUUUAUUGCGUCGUUGUUUUAAAGUCAUGGUUGUGCAGCUGGACUCUGCACUCACAACCCUCUGGGAAACCUCACUCCAGGUAUGCUUGAGUCUAGAGUGCCCAGGUGAGAGAGGCUCCCCUCCUGGGGAGAGGGAGCUGAACAAACCUUCCCCACCCUGUUCCCUUGCUGCCUUACCUCAGGAGCCGCUAACUAAUUCAAUGUUCCUCUCCUCUCCCCCAAUCCCAAACUGAGGGAGUUGCUGCUCCAGUGACUCAGUCCUGUAGACAGGGCUGGUCUCUCUGGGCCUGUUCCCACAAACACUGCGCCUGGUAGCGAGUGUUGUGUGGUACUUACAAGCCGCCACCUCUACCUAAUGGACUGAUCCUGCAAAGUUCAGUCCCUACCCCCCAAGCUGCAUUUUUCCAUUAGCCCUCCUUUGCAGUCCUAACCCAGUCUCCUCCACAGCUCCAUGGAGCUGUUGCUCCUACCCCACUGGGAAGGAGUGAGCAUAGAAAACCUGGGAAAUCACAGGAACUUGGAAGAAGGUUUGAGCUGGAGGUGCAGCUGAUCCUCUUACUUGCCUUGAGAGCAUAAGAAAAUGUUUGUUAAAACCCAUAUUUUUUCAUGUGCGGGGGGGAAGGGAAGAUCAUGUUUUAUUCUCUUGAACGUGAAUUGAGCUCAGUGAUCUUCAGAAGAGAAGCGCACUCGAUUUAUAUUCAGAUAUUAUAGAGAGAUUACAGAUAUUUUUGGAAAGGGAAUGGGUCUAUGCAAAUUUCCAAAAUGGCUUGAAAGAGAAUUUAACUUCUUUUUUUUUUUUACUUUGAAAUCUAAAGAAGAGAAAAUCUAAUUUUUUUUUCACAAAGCAGAAGUGCGUGGAGAAAGAAGCUACUUCCACGGCUCUAUUUUGAUGAUGAUUCUCGGAAAGUUUAUGGGCUGGAGGGAAUGACUAUUUUUCACCAUUUUUAUCUUGCUCCUCUAGUUUUGUUUCUUUUCUAAUGGAAUGCUGUGCCAUCUUUGAUUCAGCAGAUCGUGUCUGUAUUUUCUGUAUCUGGUUCCUAAUGUAGAGAAAUAACAAAUAUAAGAGGAAAUCACUAUAAUGUCAAAUGUUAUGGUUUUGGGGAAAAUAAAGGUUUUUUGGUACUUCA